UAAUAACAUAAGCCUGAAGAUUACUGCUAAUGAUGCAGUCAGAUCCUAAGUUUGGCAUAUCCAGGAGCAUAUCCUGCGGUGAACACAGAUGAACCACUGAAGGCA